UUACACCACAAUGAAAAUAUGUUUAUAAACAUGCACAUACAUUGAACGCAAGUUGACAAACAAAUUAACCUAGAGGAAGCAUAGUUUUGACCAUCUUACAAUCAUCUAGAACACACAAGUCACAAAAAGAUAAGGACUAUUGGUUACUAUGAGAGACUUCAGAUGGUCCAGAACACACAAGUUUGUAUCUACAUGCACAAAGUGCAAGCUCCAAAACACUCGAAACGCCAAAUGGUCUACAAGACAAUAAGGUCCAUUAUUACAGGUUGGUUGGUCCAUAAACGCUAGAGAGUCAUCAUGUCCAUGUGCAUCAAUAGGUUGAGUACCUGAAAACAUUUUGCACAAAUUUGUCAAGAAAGUGGAACCAGAUGUAGGUGCAGUCAUCAUGACCUUCCACAUAAUUAAGGACAUAAAUAUCUAUCUAAAUAAAUGACAAGAAUACAAAACAAAAGACAGAUAAAAUUAAGUUGAUUAGCUUGUAGAAGCAAGGAUAGUGGUGAGCUCAGGCAGCUUUGAAAUAUGAUUUUUUAGAAUAAAUUAAGUUGUGUAUAAUUGUAUAUACCACCUGAAAAAUGAUACCUUUAGUAUAAACCAUGGAAGCCAGAUUUCAUAUGACAUCGCUUCGGCCGAGUUUGGCAUUGUAUUUUUUUCAAAAUCACACUACUCUAAAAUCACAGGAUUAUAAUGAUGAUUUUAAUCAACCACCAGAUACACUUGUAUCUGGGAGGAAAAAUUUCAGUCGGCAAUUAUUUUUUAUCUACAAAAUCAGAACUUAAACUUUGUUGUUGCUUCAAUAAAAACUUGCACAUUCAGUUUUAAUUCGCGAAAGAUGGGUUUCAUCUCUCAGUUCUAUUUCCAAAAGUGAAUGUCACAACUAAUAACAAACCUCCUACAAUCUAACCAGUAUAUGAUUUUCAUCAACCACCAAAUGAGUCAUACUAAGCUAUCAUAUGCGUAUUCUCAAGAUACAGUAGAGGUGAACAAAUAUUCAGUGUUAAUGAGCGUGAUAUAUCACACAAAUUAACAUUUCUUUGCUUGGAAAAUGAUUUGGACAAACAUAAAGUAAAAAUGAACAAUGUGGAAGUUUCUCCUACCGGCAUUCACCCCAUUGAUAUCCUCUGUGAGAAUGAGAUCAGGCGAUGCAUCAAAAUCACUAUGCCCAAUCACCGAGAACAAAAUCUCUUCCUUCAGAAAAGCAAUCAGGAGAAAAAGAACUUAUGUUAACUAAGUAAAUAAGCAACUCAGAGGACCUCAAAAUAUUCUUAUAAACUUAGUGCUUAGAACAAGAUUCUAUAAGGCUUACCAACGAAAUGUCACCGUUAGUAACCAGAGUGUAAUUUGUCUUCUUCUCAAAGUGUUUCUUUGAGCAUAUGCCAACUCUGAAUAAUUUAGAAGUAACAAGAUUAUCAAAUUUGAGAAUGUUCAAGAGAAAAUGUGCAAUACUUGCUAGGCAAACUCAUAAUUAUGGAUUAUCAGGUGGGAAAAAAAACAAUUCACAUAGCUAAAGAACUGUUUUGGUCGUUAGAUAAACAACUUCGGAUAUGUAUGUUUGCUGGACCGACAUCAUCUACAAAAAUCUGUCCCAACUCUGGAAGCGAUUUCUGGCCAUGGGACAAAUGCACAAGCUACACUCCGUGUAUCUCCAUGCACCAACUUGUACAGUGGCGGCUAUAUGGGUCUUCCUAUUAAUUCGCAUGGUGAAUUUCUGAGGGUCCAAUUAACCCUUAACCCUGAUGAGCUGCUUAAAGCACAAUGCUUGGGGAAGGAUUUCCUUGCCAUCAUUCAACAUCUACAGCUGACCAUGCAACACAUUUUUCUUCUGUUAUAGCAGCUGAGCAAGGGUACGGCUUCAGCAAAAGCAACCAGAGUCAUCAAUCUCUACUUGUUGUGCCAAACAUAGAUGUCCUCAUCUGUAGCCUGCAAGAAGAAUUCCCUUUAAGUGAAUGUGGCCUAAUUAAUCAUUCAAGUAUUACCUUGCAAAUUAUCUUUUCUGAACAAUCUAGAAUUGACUGCAAACAAGUCUCUAAAUUUAUUACAUCUAAUAAAUAGAAGGACAAGUGGUCAGACUAACUUGCUUAAACUUGUAUGUCUGUACUAUAGCCUGCUCCCUGCUGGACGCGAGAUAGUGCAAGAAGAAAAUUGUGUAUGUGAGAGCACUGAUAGAUGGAUUCAGUUCGACUAAGGAUUGGCAUGAGAGUAGAGAUCCCAACUUCAGAAGUUGAAGGAUUAAUAUAUAUCGAUCUAAUUACUACUCAUACCUUGGAUAGUUGAAGGAUUAAUAUAUAUCGAUCUAAUUAAUAGAAGGCCAUUUGCUAUAACAUGAGGGAACGCACACCGAAAGUCAGAGUGAUCAAUGACCAAUAGAUGAUGGUGGAGCGAGACUUACCAACCGAGAAAGGAUCAUGGGGAGACCAUGGUACAAACAUAUGGUGAGCGUCAGAGUUGCAGGCUUGUUCAUAGUACUGUACUUGUAUGAAUUCUGAAAUUAGUCUAAAACUGACUACAAUGAUGGUUUUUCGCCUUCGACAGAUUUAUGCGCUGUCGGACCAAGACGAUUGGGGCAUCAAAGCCUUCCCCGGCAUCGUCUCGUCCAUGCUAACGAGAGAAGCUCAAUACGGUCGUAAUCUUGGGGGUUGUUGCAUCAUGAGAUUUACAAGGGUGCAAGGGCCUUAUUUCUUAUGGAAUUGUAUAUUGUUAUUCAUAUGUGGAUUAUUGACUUGCCAAAUCAUUGACCUCCUAUAGUAUGAUCAGAUCAAUAUAAAGAGUGUGGAUUCUAUUUUUUAACAAACUCUCAUAUCAAACCAUUGUCCAGUGUUUAUAUUGGUUGGCGGUAACAUCUACCUUAUAGUUAGGUGGCUAUUUGGUCAAAAUAGAAACUCUCAAGUCCGUAGACGACCUAUGAACAUAGAGGAACGUCUCAAAAGGCGCACCACAGGUGCGCCCCUGCCCCUAGUCUAGUUUAAAUGGACGCUACACAAGGAUGAUCUCACGGUUUAGCAUAGUGGAAACAAAUGCUGAGAGGCUGAAUGCCCUGAUCAAGUGUCAUAAAAGAGAACCAUAAGUGUGCAAGCAAUUAGCUAGCAGCUUGAACAUAGUCCUUGAAAUUUUGCUUAUGCAAAUGUCACAUGCUAAGGUAUCUGUGAAGUACUUAUCAUAAAUCAAUAAACACUGAGUUGGCCAGCUGAGUCUACAUCCGAAGGGUCAAUCCAGCAGCUUGGACGGAAAAUAAUAAAAUAAAAAAGAGCAGAGAAAGGAGUACCGCGAGAGACGCUCUUUCAGAUCUUCAUGCCUUUUGAGAACACCCAACACUGCAAAAUAAAAAGGCAAGUACAGGUAAGACAGUAAGUAAGUAGGGCAAGCUGCUUCGUAGAAUCGAUAACACGUGGGUAAGAGGCACGCGAUUCCUUGAGAGUACAAGAUAAUAAUAGCUACAACUAGUGAAGAUAAAGGUCAUUACGCCGUGCACGCGUGGUCUCGAGUUUCGCGUCGUCGUCUCUUGAAUAAAU
rnacentral:lncRNA from 1 species